GAUGCAAGCGUUAUCCGGAAUCAUUGGGCGUAAAGCGCCUGUAGGUUGUUUAAUAAGUCUGUUGUUAAAGACUAGGGCUCAACCCUAGGAAAGCAAUGGAAACUACUAGACUUGAGUAUGAUAGGGGUAGAGGGAAUUUCUAGUGUAGCGGUGAAAUGCGUAGAUAUUAGGAAGAACACCGGUGGCGAAGGCGCUCUACUGGAUCAUUACUGACACUCAGAGGCGAAAGCUAGGGUAGCAAAAGGGAUUAGAUACCCCUGUAGUCCUAGCCGUAAACGAUGGAUACUAGAUGUUGCGUUUAUUAUGCAGUAUCGUAGCUAACGCGUUAAGUAUCCCGCCUGGGGAGUACGCUCGCAAGAAUGAAACUCAAAGG
rnacentral:rRNA from 1 species